CUUGGCGGUGUUUUAGACUCUUUAGGGGAACCUGUCUCAUAAUCGACAAUCCACGUAAAACCUUACCUUUAUUUGCUACCAGUUUGUAUACCGUCGUCGUCAGGUAACUUUUUAGAAAAAAGAAGUUAGCAAAAAAGCCUUAUAAGCUCCUACGUCAGAUCAAGGUGCAGCUAAUGUAAAGGAGAGGAUGGGUUACAAUUAUAAUAAUCAUAAUUACGAAGUAACAGCUUAAAAUAGUAGUUAAAUAC
rnacentral:rRNA from 1 species